AAUAUUUGUCAAUGGGGGCAACCCUGUCCCACCCCUGCCUCGUGUGUGCAGAGGUUCUUCUGCUUGUAAAGCACUUUAAUUCGGGAGGAAGGGCCUUAGGUUCAUACCCGUAAUUAUUGACUUUACCAACAUAAUAAGCACCGGCUAACUCUGUGCCUGCAGCCGCGGUAAUACAGAGGGUGCAAGCGUUAAUCGGAAUUACUGGGCGUAAAGCGCGCGUAGGUGGUUCAGUAAGAUGGGUGUGAAGUCCCCGGGCUUAACCUGGGGACUGCUUUCAUAAGUGCUGAGCUAGAGUACGGUAGAGGGUAGUGGAAUUUCCUGUGUAGCGGUGAAAUGCGUAGAUAUAGGAAGGAACAACAGUGGCGAAGGCGACUACCUGGACUGAUACUGACACUGAGGUGCGAAAGCGUGGGGAGCAAAC
rnacentral:rRNA from 1 species